CUUGGACGGCGUCACACAAAGCUGAUCAACGCCGCUGAGGGUUCGUACAUGUGCUUUGCUCCUAAUUAUCAAAAUCACGUGGGAAGUAUAAUCACUCCUACUUAACCUGGUUCUCAAGCAGCUACUAUACUUAUAGUUUGCAUCACAAUUGGUUCGCCCUCUCUGUCUGCAAGAGUUGAAUCUUCAGAGAGUCUGUAUCCUUGAAUUAAGCUAUCAAACCCUCUUCAUGAGAACCAGAGAAGAAGAUAGAAGUCAAAUCUUUAUUCCAAGAGGUCGCUUCUCGAAUUCUGGAAUUUGUAAAGGGUGACGGAAUUUAACUCGAUCGAGCGUGACAUAAGGGAAUGAAGGAACGAGAAGUCGUCUAACUAUUGAAAGUAAAGAACAUUUGUCAUAUGAUGAUGAGCGGAAGCAUCAGUGGUUCGAAGGGUGGAAAAUGGACGAAUCAGUUACGCACAUAUUUUUACACAGAAAAUGGCAAGAUCGAAGUUAACCGCUACUCGCUGCAAAAAUGUGUGGAAGACCUGCAUAGGAUUACGAACAGCGAGGAGAUACAAUAUAUUGGUAGUUAUCGAUGCCCUCUUGUCGAAAACAUAGAGGAGAACCUGUUCGCCUAUCAUCAGUUUUUAGUGAUUGAAACAACUAAUUGGUAUUGGUCGAUCGGAAAGGAUUCAGAAAAGAUUCUCCUGCAAAGGUCGAAAGCAAAGGAUUGUGUAAAGAAGUGUAAAGAGGGUCAAGCUAGGUAUACACCAGUAACGAUGAUCGAUGAAAACGAGGGGAGAGGAUCUAUGAGAGAUUUGAUUAAGUUUAUUUGUGAAAAUGAACUUGACAAAACGUAUAAUCUAUUAGACGAUAAUUGUCAACAUUUCGCAGAAAGGUUGUUUAACCAGUUUAAAAAGCCAAGCCAAGGCACGAGAAGCCCAAAUUCCACUUUCCCACUUAUUCUUGUCGGUUCAUUUCUUAUUGU